rnacentral:rRNA from 1 species
UACGGAGGUGGCGAGCGUUAAUCGGAAUUACUGGGCGUAAAGGGUGCGUAGGUGGUUGAUUAAGUUAUCUGUGAAAUUCCUGGGCUUAACCUGGGACGGUCAGAUAAUACUGGUUGACUCGAGUAUGGGAGAGGGUAGUGGAAUUUCCGGUGUAGCGGUGAAAUGCGUAGAGAUCGGAAGGAACACCAGUGGCGAAGGCGGCUACCUGGCCUAAUACUGACACUGAGGCACGAAAGCGUGGAGAGCAAACAGG